rnacentral:rRNA from 1 species
UUAUCAAGGAGGAAGAUCUGACGGUACUUGAUGAAUAAGCCACGGCUAAUUCCGUGCCAGCAGCCGCGGUAAUACGGGAGUGGCAAGCGUUAUCCGGAAUUAUUGGGCGUAAAGCGUCCGCAGGCGGUCUUAUAAGUCUGCUGUUAAAGCGUGGAGCUUAACUCCAUAAGGGCAGUGGAAACUGUUAGACUUGAGUGUGGUAGGGGCAGAGGGAAUUCCCGGUGUAGCGGUGAAAUGCGUAGAUAUUGGGAAGAACACCAGUGGCGAAGGCACUCUACUGGACCAUCACUGACACUCAUGGACGAAAGCCAGGGGAGCAAAAGGGAUUAGAUA